rnacentral:lncRNA from 1 species
GUUAACCUGGACUCUUCCGAAGGGAACCAGACCAAGAGCUCUUCCUUUGAUGUUUCACCACAAUUUGAAGGUGAGGCAAUGUCUUUGCCAGAAGCAUUUUUUGAAUCGGAGCUGGAGGAACUGAUGCAAUCAAAUGCUCGUUAGCUUAGGACUCAGUGCUUAAGUGCCUGUCAACUUGGAGAGGCUGCCAAUCAAAAAUUUCCCUAGACUAGAAAAGAACCUCUAAGGAAAUCUCCUUCAACCUUCUUCCAGAGGCUGUUUGUUUUGAGAACAUUCAGUCUGAUUUCUCGUAAGUUCCAGUUCUAAGAAAGAUCUUCUUACACAUUGAGACGGCUCAUCUUUUCUGAAACUUGCAACUUUUUCCAUUGCCUGCCCUUUGUGAUUCUGAAUGGUGAUGACUUUCUGGUUCUCUCCUCACCUUUGUCGAACUAAAGGUAAUUUUUUUUCCAAGUAAUAAUAGCAAAUUUCAUAAUCUCCAGAAAUGGAUACUUCCAGCCACCUCCAAAUUCCUCUUCCCAUGGCAUCUCUGGUACUUCAUUAGAACAGUUAUGCAGAAUUUAAAAUACAGUGUGGCAUUUCUCUGGAAGAAUAUAAUCUUCAUGAGGGAAAAGAUAUGUGUUUUCUUCUUGUAUUCUUAGCACCGAAUACAGUACCCAACACAUAAUGAUGGCCUUAGGAGCAUACUUCAGAGGCAUUGAAUGAACGUUCUGUAGAGCUGUCAUUAUUAUUUUCCAUUCAGCGUUUACCAGUAACUUUAUUUUAAAAAUGUCUGCUCUUUAGACAGUCACUUCAUUGUUCAUUAGUACGUGACUUUGGUAAGUAUUUCUCCUGUGAAGAGAAAUAUUAUAACAAACUGUUAUGGCAUUCAACACUGGUAUUUCAGUUACUCAACUAAUCCACCCACUGAUAGAGUGAACUUUGAAUUAAAUGCUUUGAAGAAUAAAGUCAAGUAAAUCUUGAUAAAAAUCAAAGGCUAAGGAAAUCUUGUUUGACAGAAGGCAUGAACAAAAAUGCUAAAAUGAAUACUGUUUGGGGAGAAACACUCAUUCUACGGCAGACUAAAUGAAGAGUAAUAGUUCAAGAGUAUAAAAAUGCCUGUGUGAUCAAAAGGCAGGAAAAGCUUCUUUUUACUGUGUCUUUUAAUAUUCCAGGACUCAUAAUAUCCUGCCUACACGAGCACCUGUCUUUGUGGUAACUCAAAGUAUUUGAACACCUUAUCGCAUCCAACCUCAAAUUUCCUGUGAGGUAGGUAAGCGCUGAGAGCUCUUGGUACUGUUUUCGAGAUGAGGCAGGUGAAUUAGAGAGGCUGUUCACGCACUCCAAAUUUCACAGAAGCCUGAGGAGGAAGUGAGAGUAAGAGCGGGCAGUUCUCUCCCAGUGGUAGAAAUCAGCGUCAGGGCUUGAAAGGACAUUGUCGAUACCCUGGUCCAACGUGGGUUUUCCUGUUAAAACUUAUUUGUGGUGACUUGAUUCAGUUCACCAACCAUACGAAUUUUAUGUAAUUUUUCAGUCAUAGAGUAAUUCAGGACAUGGUAAUACUUACAUAUAUGUAUAAUACGUGGUGUGGAACAGUAUUAAAUUUAAAAAGCAAACAAAAGAUACGUAUUACUCCCUCCUCUCACAUCCCAAUGCCACUUCCAAAGAUUCCUAUUAUCCCAAGGUAGCCACUGUUAACAGUUUUUAAUGCGUAUUUCCAAAACUUUUCUAAGCAUUUAAAAGUGUGUGCGUGUAUACAUAUACACACACGUACACGUGCAGUUAUGUGUUCCACUUCAUAUUCAAUAGCUACACUUGGAAGUCUAACAGUCAUUCCAAACAUAACAUGACUUUCCACUAUUCUGUCCCAAUCCUAAUCUUCUCAGGUUUCUUCAUCUGGUGGGUGCCAACACCGUCAUUCCAGUUGCUCGGCUCAAAAAUCUUGAAAUCAUCUUUGGCUUCUCUCCUUCCUCUGCACUUUAUGUCCAAUUCAUCAGCAAAUCUUGUUGGAUAUAUGUUCAAAAUAUAUCCAGAAUCAACUACCUCUCACCAUCUCUGAUGUUUCCACCCUAAUCCAAGCCAGCAUCAUCUCUUGCCUGCAGUAUUACAGUAGUCUUCCAACUGGUCUCCCUCCGUCUAUUUAGCUUCCUAUUGUCUACACUCAGCAGAGCAGACAGAAGUAUCC